rnacentral:rRNA from 1 species
UAUUAUUUUUAAUGUAAGGAUUUAGGCUGGGGUAGUAAUAGUUGGUCUUGAAACUCAAAGAAUUUGGCGGUGUUUUAGUCUUUUCAGGGGAAUCUGUCUCGUAAUUGAUGAUACACGAAUGGAUAUACUUGAUCUUGUUGUAGUAUGUAUACCGCCGUCGUAAGAUUAUUUUUUGAGAAUAAUUUUCUUAAUUUUGUAUUAAAUUAUAUGUCAGGUCAAGGUGCAGCUUAUGAUUAAGUGAUGAUGGAUUACAAUAAUAUUAAUUAUGAUGGAUAAUUAUUUUGAGUUAAUUUGAAGGUGGACUUGAUUGUAAAUUUAUUUUAAUUUUUUGAUUGAUUUGAGCUCUAAAAUGUGUACAUAUCGCCCGUCGCUCUCGUUAUUAAGAUGAG